rnacentral:rRNA from 1 species
GACGAACGCUGGCGGCGUGCUUAACACAUGCAAGUCGAACGGAAAGGCCCUGCUUUUGUGGGGUGCUCGAGUGGCGAACGGGUGAGUAACACGUGAGUAACCUGCCCUUGACUUUGGGAUAACUUCAGGAAACUGGGGCUAAUACCGGAUAGGAGCUCCUGCUGCAUGGUGGGGGUUGGAAAGUUUCGGCGGUUGGGGAUGGACUCGCGGCUUAUCAGCUUGUUGGUGGGGUAGUGGCUUACCAAGGCUUUGACGGGUAGCCGGCCUGAGAGGGUGACCGGCCACAUUGGGACUGAGAUACGGCGCAGACUCGUACGGGAGGCAGCAGGGGGGAAUAUUGCACAAUGGGCGGAAGUCUGAUGCAGCAACGCCGCGUGCGGGAUGACGGCCUUCGGGGUGUAAACCGCUUUCGCCUGUGACGAAGCGUGAGUGACGGUAAUGGGUAAAGAAGCACCGGCUAACUACGUG